UUCAAAAAUGUGAAGUCCUUCAGUGGGUAAUAGCUACAGGCACGUACCAGACAGGAGACUUCCCGGAGAUGAAGUUUAGAACAUUCCCUUGUUGAAUACGGUUACAGGGCUACAAGUCACCACUCUUGCUCUGCUAACAGGCCCUUGCAUUCACUCCCUUACUGUGUCAAUUGAGGAAGGGAAAGAAAGGCUCAGGGAGCUAAUGGUUGCGACAGAGCCCGUGCUCAAAUAGCCAUCCCACAGGAUCCCAGCCUUGCCCACCACGGCGCAGGUCAACGCAGCACCGGAGCGUGCCCCGGCCGCUGCUGGGCACAUCCAGCGCCGCCCUCCCGCCGGGAACAGCGGGCAGGGAGCCCCGGAGACAGCGCCUGCUUCGCCCGGAAUGAAUGUCCUGGUACCCCUUUUCUGAGGAGCAGUGUUGCCGCCAGUAGUGAAUGCUUAUCAGAAGAGAACCUCUACCACUCAAGUUGUACCCAGCUGCAUCACUUGGUGUAGCUUCCUGCAUCUGCACCUCUCUGAAGAGAAAUGCAUGAAAGGCAAAGAAGGGUAGAAGACAAGACAGAGAAGUUGUGAAACUGGUGAGUACACCUGUGACAUAUCCCAGUGCAUCUGGCAAAAAAUGGCAAAAAUGGCAAAAAACGGUAAGGUGUGCCAACUCUUUUGAUCACUCCUUGCCCAGCAAUCAUAACCAUGUAGGACCCUCCACUGGCCCAGAAGUAACAUCUCCUUUUCAACUGGAAACUUUGUAACUUGUCACUAAGAUCAUUUGCUUUAAAUCACUGAGAAAAUCAAUUGUGUUGAUACACCAGUAUCGUGUUCCUCCGGGGCCUCCUUUAGUGACUAUCAUGUCCUUUCUCUUGAAACACAUCAUGAAAUUAAUAAUUCAGAUGGGAAGUGAUUACCCUCCUGGGGUUUCU